rnacentral:miRNA from 1 species
UUUAUUGCAGCCUUCUCAGGGUGG